AUGUACGAUUCGUACAUUCCAGCUACCGAGCGCUACCGAAACCUUCCUGGCGACUGUUCGCGACAUUUCGUUAGCC
rnacentral:sRNA from 2 species